GGGAUCGCCCUUGUAGGUGAACCUGCGGAAGGAUCAUUACCUAGAGUUGUAGGCUUUGCCUGCUAUCUCUUACCCAUGUCUUUUAAGUACCUUACGUUUCCUCGGCGGGUCCGCCCGCCGAUUGGACAAUUUAAACCAUUUGCAGUUGCAAUCAGCGUCUGAAAAAACUUAAUAGUUACAACUUUCAACAACGGAUCUCUUGGUUCUGGCAUCGAUGAAGAACGCAGCGAAAUGCGAUAAGUAGUGUGAAUUGCAGAAUUCAGUGAAUCAUCGAAUCUUUGAACGCACAUUGCGCCCCUUGGUAUUCCAUGGGGCAUGCCUGUUCGAGCGUCAUUUGUACCUUCAAGCUCUGCUUGGUGUUGGGUGUUUGUCUCGCCUCUGCGUGUAGACUCGCCUCAAAACAAUUGGCAGCCGGCGUAUUGAUUUCGGAGCGCAGUACAUCUCGCGCUUUGCACUCAUAACGACGACGUCCAAAAGUACAUUUUUACACUCUUGACCUCGGAUCAGGUAGGGAUACCCGCUGAACUUAAGCAUAUCAAUAAGCGGAGGAAAGGGCGAUCC
rnacentral:rRNA from 1 species